rnacentral:rRNA from 1 species
UACGGAGGAUGCAAGCGUUAUCCGGAAUGAUUGGGCGUAAAGCGUCCGCAGGUGGCUGUGUAAGUCUGCUGUCAAAGAGCGAAGCUCAACUUCGUAAAGGCAGUGGAAACUACACGGCUAGAGUGCGUUCGGGGCAGAGGGAAUUCCUGGUGUAGCGGUGAAAUGCGUAGAGAUCAGGAAGAACACCGGUGGCGAAAGCGCUCUGCUAGGCCGCAACUGACACUGAGGGACGAAAGCUAGGGGAGCGAAUGGG